AAGCUUUUUACGCGGUGCCGUGCAAACGGAGACCGGCCAGCUCCGAAAGGGACCAGGAUAUGCGAGGUGCGUUCGCCUUGUUUACAGAGUGGCUUUGAAUUCUGCCCCCAAGGCUCCAAGAACCAGCACUCAUCCCCUGCUGCCACCAGCCAUUGCUCAUCCAUUCCCUUGUACGAAAUAAAUUUGAUCUAGAAGCUCGUG
rnacentral:lncRNA from 1 species